UCGACCCUGGAUAACAUACAACUAUUUAUUGAUUCCAGUCGCAUAUCCAGGCAACAGUUGGUUUAUUUUUCUUGUUGAUUUUGAAAAGUGGAAAUUUCAAGUAUAUGAUUGCAGCCACAACAUUCAUACACCAGAUGCAAUCAAGUUGCGUGCAGCCCCAGUUUUUGAUGUAGUACAAUCAUUAUUAAUAGCUACUGACAUUUUCUUCGGGAAGCCAAAUUUACGAAAACAUAGAAAUAAACGUAUGAAAUUGGAAAUCAUACCGUAUCUACCUUCUCAAAAUAAUGGGUAAGUAUCUCAACAAUUUACUUUAAUAUUUAUUUUUCUAUUCAAUUUUAUUUUACAUUUAUAGCAUUACUAUAAAAUAACUUCAAACUAUUUUUUCGUAGGCCAAACUCUGGAGUUCUUCUUCUCAAAUACAUUGAAUGCUUCAUUUUCGGAUAUCCAUUAGAAGUAGUUUCAACUGAGAAAAUACGUUUAUACAGACGAAAAAUUGUCACAGAUAUCUGUCAAAAUGAAUAUUUUUUCCGUCCAUAUUUAUCAUAAC
rnacentral:lncRNA from 1 species